UACGUAGGUCCCGAGCGUUGUCCGGAUUUAUUGGGCGUAAGGCGAGCGCAGGCGGUUAGAUAAGUCUGAAGUUAAAGGCUGUGGCUUAACCAUAGUACGCUUUGGAAACUGUUUAACUUGAGUGCAGGAGGGGAGAGUGGAAUUCCAUGUGUAGCGGUGAAAUGCGUAGAUAUAUGGAGGAACACCGGUGGCGAAAGCGGCUCUCUGGCUUGUAACUGACGCUGAGGCUCGAAAGCGUGGGGGGCAAACAGG
rnacentral:rRNA from 1 species